GAGAAGAACAUACAAAGUGCCUGCACCGUUGUCUCUGGUUCAUAUUGACACCAAUCAUAAACUGAUACGAUAUGGUCUGGUGAUCUUCGGAGCCAUUGACGGCUUCUCCAGAAAAGUGAUGUACUUACGGGUUGCAAACAACAACCAAGCGGCCACGGCUUUGGAGUUUUUCCUUGAGGGUGUAGAAACUCAUGGCUGUCCAUCAAGAGUUCGAGGAGACCAAGGAGUCGAAAAUGUCGACAUUGCCCGUUACAUGUUUACGGUCCGUGGUUGUGGCAGGGGAA